rnacentral:lncRNA from 1 species
UCCAAAAUUUUCUUUUACAAUGUUAAAGUUGCAGUUACUUUGAGAGUAAUAAUAAACAAUGUGUAACAUUACUGACUAAUAUGAAUUGAUCGAAAUACUCUUACAGCUAUAUUGAACACAGGCAAAUUACAGUUUACAUGCAAAUGUAAAUCAGAGAAUAUAUAUUUAGAGUAUUGGAAAGAUCAGCUGGGAUUGCAUCACUCAUCCAACCAAAGUUCUGAUUGGUCGAUGACCUUCCUGUUCCCAUUGCCGUGAAAGCUCAGCCUAAGACAAGGAGCAUGUUAGUGCAAACAUCUAAAAGCCCAGGAUGCAGUUGGAAAGGCGCCGCCUGCCAGAAUGUCUGCGGAACACCAGUCAAGGACCAAGUUGGUUGAUGAUGUCAGGGAAAUACAGCUCGCACGAGGACGUUCCCUGUCGAGUACCAGAUAGAAGAUGGUGUCAAGAAGGACUAACUCCAGCGCUGCAGACCGAGCUUCCCUGGUAUCUGAUUCCGAACUGUACUCUAUCGAUGUCAUGAAUGGCAUAUAUGAAACCAAUUUAGAGUGGUGUUAUAGUGACCGUGAUGGUCUGGAGAUGAUUAAUGACCGAAAUCCGUAUUUGAAAUUGAAAUUUAUGUGUUUUUCCACCAUGUGUAACCGAGGAUAUUGUCAAUAUAUGCAAGUAACACUGUUAAAUUUACUUCAAUCUAAUUAUUAGUAAGACUCUCCUGCAUAAUUCAAACGGGAAUGUCUAUGUGAUUAAUAUUAAGUAUCACUUGGGCUAGAUAACUUGUGCAAAGGUUAUAUAGUAGUGGAAAACAAGAGUUAUUCUAAGAAAAACAAUAGAAUUGUAACCUACUGAGGUUACCCAUUUCGGAAAACGUGCUGUCAUCAGAUGUGAAAAACGAAUGCCAGUAGCGGUAUGUUUGAAAGCCGGUUGUUAAUGAAAUGCGGUAUCACAAAUUACUUGGCACUGGAUAAGGUAUUUUAGGAUAUAGAUAACGUCAUAGAAAUAAGAAAAUAGAACCAACGUUUUGUGUAAAAAUGGUGAUGUUUCAUGGUUGACGUCACACAAAUGGACCUUUGUGAACCUAUGUAAAACUUUUAUUGUAAUCAUAUAGAGUGAUCAAUUAAUAUCAAUUUAUGAUCCUGUAACUAUGGUAAAUGUUAUGUCUCAAAAUUGUUAGUGAGAUUGAUUACUCUGAUUACUGAUUACUCUCUGCUACACGUUCCUAAAGUAAAGUUAAUGCUCAAGAGCGAGUUCAAAGACAAAGAGUUUUAAGGCCGGGACUCCAAGCUGGGUGCUCAGGUCGUGAUUCCUCGAGAAACAGUCAUGACCGAUUCUCAACGAAGAAGACUGAAGGAAGAAAUCCACUGAAAGUGUCAGAGUUAUUACUAUGAGGCAUUUGUAUAAGUUGUGUUUGUAUGCUCUGAUUUAUUGUGUGAUCUAAUAUACGGCAUAAGGCAUGA